CCUACGGGGAGCAGCAGUGGGGAAUUUUGCGCAAUGCUCGUAAGAGUGACGCAGCGACGCCGCGUGAAUGACGAAGGCCUUCGGGUCGUAAAGUUCUUUCGACAGGGAAGAAAAUGCCUAUAAGUAACUGUGUAUGUAUUGACGGUACCCGUAUAAGCAGCCCCGGCUAACUCCGUGCCAGCAGCCGCGGUAAUACGGAGGGGGCGAGCGUUGUUCGGAGGGACUGGGCGUAAAGAGUACGUAGGCGGUGUUGUAAGUCAUUAGUCAAAGACUAGAGCUCAACUUUAGUAAGGCUAGUGAUACUAUAAUACUAGAGUAUCAGAGAGGAUUGCAGAAUUCCUGGUGUAGCGGUGAAAUGCGUAGAUAUCAGGAGGAAUACCGUUAGCGAAGGCGGCAAUCUGGCUGGAAACUGACGCUGAGGUGCGAAAGCGUGGGUAGCAAACAGGAUUAGAUACCCCUGUAGUC
rnacentral:rRNA from 1 species